rnacentral:rRNA from 1 species
GUGGAGGAAGAAGGUCUUCGGAUUGUAAACUCCUGUCUUUAGGGACGAUAAUGACGGUACCUAAGGAGGAAGCUCCGGCUAACUACGUGCCAGCAGCCGCGGUAAUACGUAGGGAGCGAGCGUCGUCCGGAAUUACUGGGUGUAAAGGGAGCGUAGGCGGGGCGGUAAGUCAGGUGUGAAAUUUAUGGGCUUAACCCAUAACCUGCAUUUGAAACUGUCGCUCUUGAGUGAAGAAGAGGUUGGCGGAAUUCCUAGUGUAGCGGUGAAAUGCGUAGAUAUUAGGAGGAACACCAGUGGCGAAGGCGGCCAACUGGGCUUUUACUGACGCUGAGGCUCGAAAGCGUGGGGAGCAAACAGGAUUAGAUACCCUGGUAGUCCACGCUGUAAACGAUGAUUACUAGGUGUGGGGGGACUGACCCCUUCCGCGCCGGAGUUAACACAAUAAGUAAU